ensembl:lncRNA
UGGAGCGCACGAGCCGUCAAAGAACACGGCAGACUGGAGCCAGUGCAGACUGAAAAAGGCUAAUGUUGGCCUUUCGCUAAGCAGUGUAGGAUGUCUGCAAUGCACUGGGAGGCUCGGCGCCGACAAAAUGCACUGGACCGUAGGUUGGCCACCAAAGCCAAGCAGAGCAUUACAAGAGACGGGCAAAAGCACAGCACAAUGGAAGAGGGCCAGAGUGAUGUGUCUGUAACACCAUCAGCCCUGACAGGGUCCGGUGAACCUCUGGUGCCUGAUGAAAGAAUUCACUGUCAUUGUCAGCAUGUAAAGAAAGAGCAAUAUAGCACCAAGACUGAGAACAGAUACACGUCUACACAGUACUCCCAACAAUGGUGAGCAAGCAGAACACAGAUGUCACUGCAGUACCAGAGCUUCUGCACUACAGUAAAUUAUCUGAUACCAUCACUUUUUCUUCCUCCUUCACAAAGCACCACCCAUCAAAAUAAAAUACUGUAAACUAUUG